rnacentral:pre_miRNA from 1 species
UUGGAAGAUUUUAAUGCUUCAACUUGUAUACUUGGAGAAUUUGAAGACUUCAACUUUUGGAGAUAUUUGAAAAUUUCAUCU